CAUCGUGCAGGACAAUGCUUAUGCUGCUAAGUGAGCUAAAAAAGCAGCUAGUUUCCAACUUCUAUCCCUUACUGCAGUUUUCCUCCUUCACAUCAGCCACACUCACCUGCUCCCCCGCAGGAGGAACCGUCUUGGCUACGUACUUUAUUUCUCAGUCGGCUCCAGAUAUCCGAAAAAAUUAAAAAUGGUGGAGGACGGCCCUCAAACUCCCAUCCAGGAUUUAGUCAAACUGGCCUUCAAGGUCUCCAACUCCAGGGAGGAAGCCGCUGAGGCUCAGCGACAGGCGAGGCUAAAGCAGAAGGUAGACCUCCAAACCCAGGCCUUGGUAGCAGCCCUGAGGCCGGCCGGCUCCAGGAGCUCUCCGAGAGGAGGUACUCCCCAAACGCCACCUGGCACCUGCUUCAAGUGGGGCAACAAAGGCCACUGGGCCAGGCAGUGCCCCAACCCUGAGGAGCCAACUCACCCCUGUCCGAACUGUCGGCAGAUGGGCCACUGGAAGUCGGACUGCCCCAACCUGAGGACGGUCACUACGCCUCCAUGUGAGGACCCUCCUCCAGGUACUGGAGGCGCCUUCCAGAUCCUUGACACUGAUGACAAUUAAAAGGCCCAGGCUAGAAAAUCCCUCCUACUGUGGAGGCCCACGCUGGAAAAUCCCUCCUACUCUCACAGAGCCCAGGGUCACGCUCCAGGCAGCGGCUCCCUGUGUCCUCCGCCUCAUCCAGGACCGCAUGAAAGAAGUCUCCUGAGUCACUGUCAAUCAGAUGCUACUCCACCCCUAUACCCAAGUUCCAACCUCUGAAGGACCCCACGAUGACCUAUACCAGCAGGAAGCAGCCAGAUGAACACGUCGCUCCUUUUUCUUAUUAGAAAGAGGUCGGAAUGUUAGGCAGGAAUCUAGACCCAACAUGGCGGUAUCACCCGGCAUGGCAGGCCCUUUGUUAGGACUUCCUGCCCUUCACUUCCUGCUAAGACUCUCCGCGCUGAAAAAAGCCCACACCCGCCAGAGAACCCCCGUUCUGCGCAAUCUCCUGGACACGUCAUUCCCCAGAAAUCAAAACCUAACUCAGGAAAACCGAAACCUACAAACCCCACCUACCUCGCCCUAUAAAAGGCCCCCAAUACCUUGGCCCUCCCAUUAGAGGACCAGUGAACCUCGCCCUCGAGCCCAAUAAAGGCUACCUAUGUUCUCA